UACAUGGGGUGCAAACGUUGCUCGGAAUUAUUGGGCGUAAAGCGCGCGUAGGCGGUUACUCAAGUCGGAUGUGAAAGCCCUCGGCUUAACUGAGGAAGUGCACCCGAAACUGAGUAGCUAGAGUACUAAAGAGGGCCGCGGAAUUCCCGGUGUAGAGGUGAAAUUCGUAGAUAUCGGGAGGAACACCGGUGGCGAAGGCGGGUCUCUGGGCCGAUACUGACGCUGAGGAGCGAAAGCGUGGGGAGCGAACAGG
rnacentral:rRNA from 1 species